UUCUCAGUUGUGUGAUUGAUUAUGAGUUGUUGAUUGAUUUUCAGUUGCAAGUAUGAUUCUGAUAUCUAGGUGAUUCUCACAAGGAAAUUGUUUAUGAUUCUCAGUUGUGUGAUUGAUUUUUCUAUUAUGAUAUCUUGCAAGUAUUGUAAAUGUGAUAUCUUGCAGGUAUUAUAAUUGUCAUAUCUUGUAGGUAUUACCAUUAUUCCUUACUUUAGUAUUCAAAUUGAACUGUUAUUCUGUGAUUUUCUAGGAAAAUUAUUUGAAGCUAAAAGAACAACAUUCAAGCCAGAAUGUGGGAUCAGAUCAUGUGGAAGGAGAUGGAGGAAAUAUUAAUGAGGAUCAAUUGUUCAUUGCUGCAGCAGGAGGAUGGCAAGGAAGUCGAGUUUAUGGUUUAGGUAGUGCUGCAUCUUCUGCCUUCUCUCAAACAGGAACUGUGGAAAAAACAACAGAUGUUCCAUCAUCACAAUCACCAGAAUGGAAGAAGGAAAUUGAAGCAAAGUUUGAUGAGAAGUAUAAUAGUUUGCAGAAACUNNN
rnacentral:lncRNA from 1 species